AAAACUCUGAGACGUGAUACCGAGCCGCUUCAGGCGAAGUCAUUGAUCCUAUGCUGCCUAGAAAAGCCCAGCAGCGAGUUGACAUGGUGCCCGUACCCCAAACCAACACAGGUGGACAGGUAGAGCAUACCGAGGCGAGUGGGAUAACUACGGUUAAGGAACUCGGCAAAUUGCCUCCGUAACUUCGGGAGAAGGAGGACCCCAGUAGCGUGAUGAGACUUGCUCUCUGAGCGUGAAGGGGUGGCACAAAAUUGAGGGAAGCGACUGUUUACCAAAAACACAGCAGCGUGCUAAGCCGUAAGGCGCUGUAUACGCUGUGACUCCUGCCCGGUGCUGGAAGGUUACGGGGAUGGGUUAGUCCUUCGGGACGAAGCUCUGAACCUAAGCCCCAGUAAACGGCGGCCGUAACUAUAACGGUCCGAGGUAGCGAAAUUCCUUGUCGGGUAAGUUCCGACCUGCACGAAUGGAGUAACGACUUCCCUACUGUCUCAACCAUAGACCCAGCGAAAUUGAAGUACGAGUAAAGAUGCUCGUUAGCUGCAGAAGGACGGAAAGACCCCGUGGACCUUUACUAUAACUUGAUGUUGUGUUUUGUCAUAUGUUGUGUAGGAUAGGUGGGAGACUUGGAAGCAUGGACGCUAGUCUGUGUGGAGUCAUCGUUGAAAUACCACCCUGCAUAUGGUGAGGCUCUAACCUAGACCCGUUAUCCGGGUUGGGGACAGCGUCAGGCGGGUAGUUUAACUGGGGCGGUUGCCUCCUAAAGAUUGCGGAGGCGCCCAAAGGUUCCCUCAGCCUGGUAGGCAAUCAGGCGUUGAGUGCAAUGGCAAAAGGGAGCUUGACUGCGAGACCCACAAGUCGAGCAGGAGCGAAAGCUGGGCAUAGUGAUCCGGCGGUUGCGUGUGGAAGCGCCGUCGCUCAACGGAUAAAAGGUACCCCGGGGAUAACAGGCUAAUCUUGCCCAAGCGUCCAUAGCGACGGCAAGGUUUGGCACCUCGAUGUCGGCUCAUCGCAUCCUGGGGCUGAAGCAGGUCCCAAGGGUUGGGCUGUUCGCCCAUUAAAGCGGUACGCGAGCUGGGUUCAGAACGUCGUGAGACAGUUCGGUCCCUAUCCUCUGCAGCCGGAGGUGAAUUGAGGAAAGCUGUCCCUAGUACGAGAGGACCGGGACGGACGCAGCUCUCGUGUGCCAGUUGUCCUGCCAAGGGCAUGGCUGGUUAGCGACCUGCGGAAAGGAUAACCGCUGAAAGCAUCUAAGCGGGAAGCCUCUUCCAAGAUGAAUUCACCCACAGGGUUAACCUGGUAAGGCCCGUGGUAGACCACCACGUUGAUAGGCCGGAAGUGUAAGCGUGGCAACACGUUCAGCUGACCGGUACUAAUCGGCCGAGGGCUUGAGUUC
rnacentral:rRNA from 1 species